rnacentral:sRNA from 1 species
UCACGAUGAGCCUCUCGAGAUUGCUACC